GGUGAAGGGACGCCAAGGAGAGCGUGUAAGACUCUACACUAGAGGAACGGUCCUUGGAUACAAGAGGUCGAAGUCGAAUCAGUAUCCAAACACUUCAUUGGUUCAGAUCGAGGGAGUCAACACUAAGGAAGAAGUAGAUUGGUACUUAGGGAAGCGUAUGGCUUAUGUAUACAAGGCGAAAACUAAGAAGAACAACUCGCAUUAUCGUUGUAUUUGGGGUAAAGUUUGUAGGCCUCAUGGUAACAGUGGAGUUGUUAGAGCUAAAUUCAAGUCCAAUCUGCCACCAAAAUCCAUGGGAGCUAAGGUUAGAGUUUUCAUGUACCCAAGCAAUAUAUAAAGCAAGGUAUUUAGUUGAUGCUUACUUGGAGGCCCUACGUUUGUCUAUCGAGGUCUUUAGUGGUGAAGGUUUUGAAUCUUUAAAAUAUAGUUGACAUAAAUUGUUUCAAGUUUUUUUGGUAUUUUUGUUUGUCAUGUACUCUGAAAUACCAUGGUUUGAACAUCUAAUUAGAUGUCUAAUUUUAUUCUUGGAUUUUAA
rnacentral:misc_RNA from 1 species